AAUAUGGAAGCGACUUUGGAACUGGGUAACAAGCAGAUUUGGAACAGUUUGGAGGGCUCAGAAGAAGACAGGAAAUUGUGGGAAAGUUUUGAACUUCGUAGAGGCUUGGAGGGCUCAGAAGACAGGAG